ACCGCAGUCCUAUAGGGACCUUUGAUCCUCUUUGGGGAGAAGGAUGAGGGAGACAGGGGUGGAGAGUGUGUGUGUGAGCUGACCCCCCACAGAACCCACACUGACCUCCCAGCACACUCCCUACACAACCAUGCUCUUCCUGCUUGCAAGGCCCACUAUCCAGACUUGCCUCUGGGAGGAGAAGCUGGAUCAUCGAGUCAUCCGUCAUUCCAUUCAGUAGAAGGAAACAGGGGGGUGUCCCAGCUCCCCUGUGCUUAUGGUCCCACAAAAGAGAAGGAAGUAUGAAGAGGAGAUGAACAGGAAGCAGAGUCCCUUUCCCUGGGAAAGGGAAGUGAGAGGAUGCCAGUGGGAUGGAGGUCUAGACCCUCCUGUAAAAGGUGAAACUCAAAUAGGGCCUUGAGGAAAGAAGAGGAGCUCUCCCAGCCAUCGGGAAGAAGAGCAUUCCAGAGCAUUGAACUGGUAAGGGCACAGGCAGAGGCGCGGCCGUGGUCCAUCCUUGCAUCAUCUAGUGAGGCUGGGGAAGAGAGCAGCAAGAGAUGAGUCUGGAAAGGAAGACUGGGGCCAAAUGAGGGAGACUUCAGCACGAACCUGUAGCAUCAGGAGGUUUUCUUCUGCUGAAAAGGAGGAUGUGUCGAUAGUUUGGAGCAGUGGAAGGAUGUGGUUGAAUCUAUGCUUUGGAGAGGUAGGUGGCAGGGGCAGUGGGAGGGAUAGGUUAGAGCAGGCCACCUGUCUGAGAACUGGAAUUGGGUACCUCUUCCUCUGGGAGAGCCCAGCCCAUGCUCAGAGUGUAGCUGGGUCUCAGCCUCACUAGCACCUGCCCAACUGCAGGGCACAGCCCUGGAGAGAAGCUAGCAGGGGCUGGAGGAGCAAGUGGGAGGGGUGUGGGUCAGAGAGCUGAGCCAAGGCAGCAGUGGUGUGUGUGUUAGGUUGCUUCAGUCAUGUCCACCUCUUUGUGACCCCAUGGACUAUAGUCUGCCAGGCUCCUCUGUCCAUGGGACUCUCCAGGCAAGAAUACUUCAGUGAGUUGUCAUUUCCUCCAAGGCAGCAGUGGAGACCACUCAAAUUAAUGCUGCAAGUUAGUUGUACCCAGAGCAGCCAGGGUGUCUUUUGAUUGCUAAAGAAGUAUAAUCAGAAAGGAAGAGACCCUGAAAGAUGAUGGCUUGAAUAAACAUGGCUGCUGACUGUUGAGAAUGUGCCAGGCACUGCGCUAAACUCUUCCCUCCAAGACCUCAUGGCACUUUGGCAAGAAAGCUGCGCGAUGCCCGUGGAUCACUAUGCUCAGUUGGUGAGAGGAAAUAGACAUGAGCAAAACUGAGGCAUGCACAACACCAGUUGAUAACAGAGUGAUCUGAACCCAGGACUGUCUGCUGCUGCAGCCCACCUCGGGGCCACUCCACACACCACCCUCCCUGGUGGAGAACUGGCCCCAGCCCUCCUCGUAUCUGCUGACCCUGGCUCUGUGUGCUCUCUAAGCAAGCUUCAGAGUUUCAUUUGGUUUCCUGAGUUGGCUUCCAGAUCAAGGAGAGCACUUUCUGGCUAUAAAUUAUUGAGCUGACUUUCUGCCACAAGUCAGUCUCCUGUGAGUCUGGCUGUGGGGGCCAGUUUUUCCAGUCCUGAGUGACUCUGGAGAAAGCCAUUCCAGAGGUUGCACGGUCAGGGCAGAGCUGCACCCCUAGGGCUCUGAUAGUAGCCUGGCAGCCCUGGGUCCAGCCUUUACUGGAUGGCCAGGGGCCAGGGUGGAUGGGAUAAACUGAGAGACUCCCUUCUGUCCCCACCACUGCUCAGCCCUUGAGCCCUCGGGGACCCUUGGGGAAGGGGGCUCGGCUCGUUCUCCUUCCCUGGGUUCCUCCCUCCUUGCCUCCAUUCAAAGUCUCCACUUGGCUGCUUGCCUGGGAAAGGAGAAAAAGAGAAGAAAAAGAAAAGAAGAGGAAAUAGGGGGAACCAAGAGCAGGAAAGAACACCAUCUGCCUGUGGUUUGGUGGGGAGGGGAAAGCAUGGGGGCUGCCCCCCCCCCCCCCAAGAUCACAAAUGCCAUCUUCCCACCCACCUAUCACUCACCACUUGGGGGGCAAAGCUUAGCCAAGCUCAGCACAAUGAUAAAAUUGAGAUGCAGAUUCCUUCCCAUUGCUCUGAAUAGAGCAGAUUGGAUACGGAUUUCCCCCUUUUCUUCCCAUUUAGACCAUCUGGGCGGCUGGGGCCCCAGAGAAGAUUGGGACCAGGUGGGGGAGGGGCAGAGGUUUCCUAGCACUUUUCAGCUCUGAAACCUCAGGGUAAGGGUAACGGAUGCCACCCCACCGUAUCCCCUUUCCCCGGCAAGUUUGUUCUCUUUGUAUUCUGCUCUCCGGGCUGGGCGGAGCUGGCUGGAGUCACCUCUCCUCUGUCCUAGCAAACUCCAAGUGAUGAAUUUGUCAUCAGGGUCUGCCAUCCUUCCUGCAGGCCCACCACACCCCCUAACUGCAAAUAAACCUAUGGGGAGGAUGGAAGGGAAAAUGCGAACACAGACAGUUGAUAGGAAGGGCUAUUAAAGAUUGCUUUAAGCCUGAGCCAAGUGAAGCUUGGGGUAGAGUAUCCAGCUUAAGGUUGGGCAGGGACCUGGUGGGAAAACCAAGACUAGUUAAUAACAACAACAGCAACAACAAAGACCAUGUUAUUUUGUAUCAGGAUGUGUGCUGUGCUCUUUGUAUUAUGCCAUUUAAUCCACACAAUAACCCUACAAAGCAGGUAUUAUUAUCAUGCCCAUUUGCCCAUUUCAUAGAUGGGCAAACUGAGGCACAGACCUGCUAAGUAACUAGUAUAAGGCCAAAUUGGUAGAAGCCAGACCCAAAUCCAGGCAGUGAGGCUCCAGAGCCUGCUCCUUGCACAGUCUCAGUGCACCACCCAGGAAAAUGGCAUUAUUUGACAGAUCCUUGGGCAUGGAGCUCAGGCUGCUCCAGUAAGCAUUUGCAGAUGGGGAAACUUAUAAAACACAGCCCACAGCCAUUCUGUAUUUAUAAUCACAAAAUCUAGACUUGUUCCUCUGAACAGAGUAUAUCAACACAGUGUUAGAACUGGAAAUAAGAAUAGAAAGGGAAUAUUUACAUCACUUGGCAGAAGAAGCAAGUGUGAACCUCAUGAGGAGAUGACAUGUGGCUGGACCAAACACAGGAGGAGAGAACCUGGCGCUCAGGGAGACACCAUGAAUUAGAUCCAGGACCCUGCCUCAUGGUUGCAUUGCAGCUUAAAUGAAAUAAGGAUUGAAGAGGACCAGGAGACCCCAGGGAGUGUGCUGCUGACCCCCCAGAGGAAAAGGUCUUCUCCUGCUCUCCCCGCAGUCUGGUGCCCACUGUCAGACCCUCACUCCCCCCAAGGCAUACUUGCCCCUGAUCAGUGAGUGAAGUGAGCCCCCUACUGUCCAUGCGCACCCUGGUACCUGGCCGGGGCAUCAGACAGCCCAGGCUGAGGUGUGGGUCACAGGAGUUAGAUGAAGACCAGGAUGAGCUGAAACCACUAGGGGGCAAUUUCCGGUGAGUCCUUGGAUAUACAGUGAAUGAGGCUCUCUUUUGAGACAGGUUAGGUGUGAGGACAGACGUCUGGGUGGACUGUGCGCUGCCACUGUCUUCAUUUCCUGCUGCUGCUACAAGCAAUGACCUGGUGGCUUCAAAGAACACACAUUCAUUCUCUCCAGUCUGCAGGUCUUACCUGGGAAAGCUCUCCUGCUUUUAAGGACCUUUGUGAUGACAGUGGGCCCACCUGGACAGUCCAGGAUGUUCUCCACCUCAAGGUCCUUCACUGAACCACGUCUGCAAAGCUCGUUUGCUGCAUAAGAUGACACCUCCACUUAUGCUGCCUACCACACCCACGCUAUGUACUCCCACCCAGUCACUCAACAUGCCACGAACACUGCUGGCUUGAGAUUCCUCUAUGCCUGAAUUUCUAAGGAAGGAAGAGCGGUAGCAGGUAAAAGAUCACCACCAAGUCACGGCCACAGUCUUGGGGAGGAAGAAAGAGGCUACUGAGGAGGGGACAGUCAGGGAGCUCAGAGGCGGAGCCGGUGGGGAGAGAGGAGCAGAGAUGGGAGAUGCAAGGAAGGGGAGCAGUGUGUUUUGGGAGGCGGAGGUUGGGAGAAGGCAGUCACAGAUGCAAAGGUGAGACUGCGGGAAAGAUCUUACAGGUGAACUGCACUUCAAAGAAAUUCAUGAGCACUGGCACAAAAGUUUUACCAAAGAGGGAUGAUUAUUCACUGCCCCAAAGGAUUUUCCAAAGCGUUCUUCAAGUAAUGAGUUCCACUGUGUUCUUAAAAUAGGAUUUACACCCAAUUUUUCAGUCACACAUAAAGGGAUGCUUGUAAAUCUAUGGAAAUGAAGUGAGACCAGUAACAUCUGCUGCCUUCUGUGCUGGUGGUGUCAGAGGGAGUGGGAAGGAACGGCGGGCUGGCGAGGUGGGGGUUGGUGCCUGGGGAAGGAACCGACUUCCGGUGGGGGGCGGGGCUCAGCCUCCCGCCUCCAUGUAGUUCUCAGGCAGGCUUCCUGCGUUUCAGUUCAGUUGCUCAGUUCUGUCCCACUCUUUGUGACCCCAUGAACUGCAGCACGCCAGGCCUCCCUGUCCAUCACCAACUCCUGGAGUUUCCUCAAACUCAUGUCCAUUGAGU